CCUUCGUCAAUUUCUUUGAGUUUCAACCUUGCGGCCGUACUCCCCAGGCGGUCAACUUCACGCGUUAGCUUCGUUACUGAGAAAACUAAUUCCCAACAACCAGUUGACAUCGUUUAGGGCGUGGACUACCAGGGUAUCUAAUCCUGUUUGCUCCCCACGCUUUCGUGCAUGAGCGUCAGUACAGGUCCAGGGGAUUGCCUUCGCCAUCGGUGUUCCUCCGCAUAUCUACGCAUUUCACUGCUACACGCGGAAUCCCAUCCCCCUCUACCGUACUCUAGCCAUGCAGUCACAAAUGCAGUUCCCAGGUUGAGCCCGGGGAUUUCACAUCUGUCUUACAUAACCGCCUGCGCACGCUUUACGCCCAGUAAUUCCGAUUAACGCUCGCACCCUACGUAUUACCGCGGCGGCUGGCACA
rnacentral:rRNA from 1 species